UACGGAGGGGGCGAGCGUUGUCCGAAGUUACUGGGCGUAAAGCGCGCGUAGGCGGGUUGGUAAGUCCGCUGUGAAAAGCCCGGAGCUUAACUCCGGAGGGUCGGUGGAUACUGCCAGUCUUGAAGGUGCUAGGGGGAGAUGGAAUUACCGGUGUAGCGGUGAAAUGCGUAGAUAUCGGUAGGAACACCAGUGGCGAAGGCGGUCUCCUGGGGCAUUCGUUGACGCUGAGGCGCGAAAGCUGGGGAGCAAACGGG
rnacentral:rRNA from 1 species